rnacentral:piRNA from 1 species
UGGAAGGAAUGAGGGUUACUGACGGA